ACAGCAGCCGCCGCGGUAAUACAGAGGGUGCGAGCGUUAAUCGGAUUUACUGGGCGUAAAGCGUGCGUAGGCGGCUUCUUAAGUCGGAUGUGAAAUCCCUGAGCUUAACUUAGGAAUUGCAUUCGAUACUGGGAAGCUAGAGUAUGGGAGAGGAUGGUAGAAUUCCAGGUGUAGCGGUGAAAUGCGUAGAGAUCUGGAGGAAUACCGAUGGCGAAGGCAGCCAUCUGGCCUAACACUGACGCUGAGGUACGAAAGCAUGGGGAGCAAACAGGAUUAGAUACCCGAGUAGUCCCUGUCUCUUAUAC
rnacentral:rRNA from 1 species